rnacentral:other from 1 species
GUUUUAGCUCUUUAUCCAUUAAAACAAGGAUUGAAAC